ACAGAUCUUGCUCUGUUGCUCAGCUGAAGUAUGGUGUUGUGAUCAAAACUCACUGCAGCCUGGAACUCCUGGGCUCAAGGCAUCCUUCUGCCUUGGCUCCCGAGUAGCUGGGACCACAGGUGCAAGCCUCUGCACUGCUGUUAAAUGAGUCAAGAGACCCGGAUCUAGAUCCAGCUGCACCGAUCCACAGUGCUCCUCUGCAGCAACCUCAGAACAGUGGCCCACACUCCUAGAAUUUGAGAAAAUGCCAUCUUCUUCGGAGGACAGAGGUCAAUCUCCAGGGCCUGGAAUGUGCGCUUCAGUUCGUGGAUGUCACCUUGUCUGCUCUGCACAGUGGCUGGACUGGCUGCCUCCUGGGACAUGGCUGCAGACUGUGGAACCAAGCAAGGCAAAGGCGUCAGCAUUGGGACCUCAUGGAAAUGCAACCUUUGGGAAGUCCGAUGAUGUCUAUUAUUGUAUCAUCAAAUUCCCUGAUGUUUUCCUCUCUGGCCUGCAUUCUGCUGUUAAGCCCAUCUCCAUUGAGGUUUCUAUUUUGGUUCUAUGAUAUAACAGUGAGCCUGGAAAACUGGCCUGAAUCAAAUGAGAAUUAAAACCUGCCGGAAUGCUUAAGCGACCAUGGCCCAGAGGUUUCUCUCCAGCUCUGCUUCUCCCUCCCUGUCUCUGGAGGCUGCUGCAGCAUCAGACUCAAGCCCAGGAGUGAAGGUAAGGCAUCUUAGAGGACAAGCUGUGGACCUGUCACUUCUGCUUCUAUUAAUAGCUGGGUAAACGGCAGUACUCGGGAAAGGCAAGGAAAUGUGAUCCUCCGAUAUGGAAGAGGGCUUAACAUCUCAGGGCCUGACUUAUCAGUGACACAACGGACACUGCCUUUGUCUCACGCACCAGGCUUUGCUGUGCUUGGAGUUCAAUUUCCAGAGCACUGGCUGUGCGUUUCAGUUCCAAGAUCUCCGUCUGGCAGCCCUGCAGCUGCUCCGCGCUGGACAGUUGCUGCUGAUUCAGCUCUUCUGUCUGAAACACAGACACCAUUAGAGAAUUCAAAAAAGGCAGAAGUCUGUAAGCCUGACAUUUUUUCAAUCUGGGUACUGACCUGAACAGCCAACCAUUCUUCAGCUUCUCUGCGAUUGUUGGCAAGCACCGUUUCAUACUGACAGCGCAUCUCAUCCAGGACCCUGUUGAGGUCAAGGGUGGGGGCAGUGUCCAGCUCCACACUGAGGCGGUCGCCAAGCUGUCCACGAAGCAAGUUGACUUCCUGAAAGUGGGAUGGUGUAAAGAAUGUCACAGAAUGGUGGGGAAAAAUCCAUUUGACAUCCAAUGGCAUUCUACUUCUGUUUUUUGGAGCAGUGGGUAAAAGUGUGAGAUUUUGAUUCAGGUUGCCUGGGCUGAAUCUCUUUUCACCACUUAGAAGGGCCUCAGUUUCUUCAUCUGUAAAAUGGACAUAAUAAUUGGACAUUUUUCCAGAAAGUUAUUGUGAGAUCUAGAAGAGUCAAUCUACACAUAAUUAACUUAUAAAAGUUAAUUAUGACACAUAGUAAGGUGUCAAUAAAUGUUAGCUAUGAUUGUCAUCAACAAAUGUUCAAAGAGCAAAUGUACUUUGUUACAUCAUUCAGCUUUUCAUUUUCUAGCUUUAUCAAUAUAUCAGUCGCUGUAUAUUUUAUGAUUUUUAGAAGUUUAUAAAUACGGAAUAUUUAAAAACACUGGUCCAGAUAGUGCACAGUCUUUAUCCCUUUUUUGAAAUGGACUUCACAGUCUGUUCCUCAGCCUGAUUUUCAUACCCUGUGGACUGGAGCUAGGGGUGGCAUAAAGCCUCCAAAGGAAGCCAUUUGUGAAGUUACCUCCUCCACAAAGGCAAGGGCAGGAGAAGAGUUUGAUUCCUUCAUCUGGCACUGUCUAGGGGUUAUUUCACACCUUAAAUCAGAGACACACUGGAAUGAUCAGGUUGAAUAGUAAUAAUGCCUCG